AGCAUUGUGGAUGCUGAUGUGGGUAAGACGCAUUGUGAAGCUCUCUCCUCUUUUUAAGUUAAUAAGUUUCUAAAGUUGCGCAUUUUCGGUAAUACUGUAUAAAUACAACGUUACGAGAUUACAGACAUGUUUUAGAACUGUGACGAUUGUGCGUUAAAUGGCCUUGUAUAAACUGAUUUAACGGUUUUAGCAAUCUCACCUCGUUAGCAUAUAGGCCUAUUUUGUGUUCUGUACCGAGAGAGAGCUCAUGCAUGUGUGUGCUUGUGCUAAUGGUGCCCCACGCUACUUUUGUGCAGGUAUGUGCAAUUGUUGAAUUGUUUUGAGAGUUUUAAACUUCGAUUUUGUUGGAUCUGUUUGAUAUUAAUAUGUAAUACUGCCACUAUACGAUCUUCAUUCGCUUCAUGAAAAUGCGACGGUUUAUUUUUGUUUUUUUUUAAAACACGUUGUUCCUAUUGUAACACAUGGGUGUACAGUAGUUACUCUAUUAGAUAGGCCUAAUUGGUUGACCCAAGAGUACUGUAAUUCAGUUGAACUUAGUAAGAGAGAUUUUCAUUUGAAUUUUGUCAUAUAAUAAUUUAGCUUAACAUUGUAUGUAUUGAGAGCAGUGUAAUGUUUUGUUUUGUUAUUAAACUCUUUAUAUAAAUUUCUAUUGUGGGAAAAAAAGAAAACUAAAGAGGAAGAAAAAGCAUUAUGGAUGCUGAUAUGGGGAGAGAGAGAGCUCAUGCAUGUGUGUACGUGUGCUGAUGGUGCCCCACGCUACUUUUGUGCAGAAUAAAAGUCUUCAGAUCUUCGAGUUCCUUUGUCCAGUGUGGCUGACUGAGCUGUUAGACCAUCGCUACAGAUUGAAGUCUGCUACACUCUAACCAACUGAGCUAACCGGCCCACAAAUGGGACAAACAGUCAGCUUUCUCUGGCAACCAAAUGGUAACCGCUUUCACGCCAAGCGGUUGAGUGGAAGUUACGCUAGGAAUUCAAAAGAUGCCUCGGAACAAGAUGACUCCAAACCGUUAAAUGCUUCUUGAAGGAUCUAGGAACUGGGUAGCUCCAAAAGGAUGCUUGAGCAAGGAAAACCAAGCAGGGAAAUCCUUUGCAGAAGUAUUUAGCUCAGAGUGAAAUAUAAAUGAUCGACCUGUGGAUCUACCUGUCCCUAUCUGCCAUAUCUGUAAUUGACAUGGCUUCAAACAGAUGUUUGACUGAACGAGGAGGUUCUUGGUUGUCUAGUACAUGCUUUUUUGAUUCCGCCGUAUUUGGGUGAAGCUUAGGAAAGGACACGAGGAGGUAAAGGUAAGCAAUUGGAAUGAGGUCUCUGGAGUCUUCAAAUCAAAGUCAGUACUGAAACUGUCCAUCUGUAUGGCGCUUUGGAUUCAGGUUUCCAGGCGAUACACGUCUUCCUUUUGUCAGAACACAGGAGAAUGCCCCCUGAAGACGAAGAGGGAGAAUGCGGGCAUCGAUCCCGCUACCUCUCACAUGAUGGUCGACCCGAAGCCGUAAAGGUGGGUAGAGCUAAGGGGCGAGGAAAAGAUAUGAGGAAGGGAUGCAAAGAGCAAAAAUAAGCAGUGCGAAUGGCCCCAUAAAUUCUGGAAAGUGAUGCAAGGAGUAAGAAGAAGCUGUUGGAAUCAGUGAAUUUUCAUUGUAAUGCUGACUUGAAAUUAGUGCUUCAUGAGUUAAAACUCAGCGA